AGGGCACCACAAGGCGUGGAGCCUGCGGCUUAAUUUGACUCAACACGGGGAAACUCACCAGGUCCAGACAAAAUAAGGAUUGACAGAUUGAGAGCUCUUUCUUGAUCUUUUGGAUGGUGGUGCAUGGCCGUUCUUAGUUGGUGGAGUGAUUUGUCUGCUUAAUUGCGAUAACGAACGAGACCUCGGCCCUUAAAUAGCCCGGUCCGCGUCCGCGGGCCGCUGGCUUCUUAGGGGGACUAUCGGCUCAAGCCGAUGGAAGUGCGCGGCA
rnacentral:rRNA from 1 species